GGAGCCCUGUGGAGGUGACACUGGGCGCCUUAGAGGAGAGAGCUGCGUGAUGUAUCACCACUCACCAGCCCUUGCCGGAGACCUGUUUAGAGUGAGAUUACAGUCUCAGCAGAGCCUCUCAUUUCUCCUGGUCACGGGGUUACAGAGCACUUUACAACUUGUGCUACAGGAAGGCAGGGAGGGAUUUAAAUGAGAGACUGGAAGAGACCCUCCAUAAACCUCAGCCAGAGCAGCCCUGACUCACAGAUGAGGAUAUAGCAAGAAGAUGGUCAUCUGCAAACCAGGAGGAGGAUCCUCACCAGAACCCAACCCUGCUGGUACCUUGAUCUUGAACUUCUCAGCCUCCAUAACAGCUAUCAACAGGGUAAUGGAGUAUGGAGUCACGCCGAUGGAGAUUUGUCUUAGAUAGUAUGAUUAGGGAAGACCCUUCUGAAUUGAGACCUAAAGGACAAGAAUGAGCUGCCCACAAACAAAACAAGAAGAGGAUACCAGACAAAGGAUAGAGUGAAGAAAGAACAUUCUCAUUCUUCCUUCUAUGCUGAUGGUACAAGAAAGUCCUGGAAUCCUAAGGAUCUAGGAAAAAUCAACUUGAGAAGUUUCUAUGUGGAAGAAAACUGGCUAUUAGCUUGGGACUUCAGCAAGGCACUUAGCAAGGUCUCUCAUAAUAUCCUGUGGUCAAGAAGAAAAAUAUAGGCUGGAUGACUGUACAAUUAACAUGAUUCAUAGCUGGCUGGAACAACUUAUGCCAAAAAGUGCCAAUUAAUGGACGGAUAUCAAACUGAAGGAGCUCUCCAGAUGUUCUACAGCAAUUUGCCUCUUGCCCAGUGGUGCCUGGUACCUAUUAUCAAUAACUUGGAUAAAUAUAUAGAAUAGUUAUCAAAUAUAUGGGUAAGAUCCAAGUGCAUUACAGCACAGAAUCAGGACCCAAAAUAAUAAAACAGGCUGAACUAAUGGGCCAAAUCCAAUGAGAUAAAGUUUAAGUAGGAUAAUAUAAAGUUCUGUACUUUGGUCCAAAAAAUCCCCACUACUCAAGUAUAGGGUACACAAAAUUUUGUUAUAUAGAUGGCAGCAUAUAGAUGUAGCUGUUAAAAUAAGUCCAUUAAAUGUUAGGCAGCAUUAUAAGCAGUAGCUAUCUAUUGAGUAGUAGAAAGAACAUUGGAUUUGGCAUUAGAAAACUGGG
ensembl:lncRNA novel transcript